GACGUAGGGCGCGAGCGUUUGUCCGGAAUUAUUGGGCGUAAAGAGCUCGUAGGCGGCUUGUCGCGUCGGCUGUGAAAUCCCGUGGCUCAACUGCGGGUCUGCAGUCGAUACGGGCAGGCUAGAGUUCGGUAGGGGAGACUGGAAUUCCUAGUGUAGCGGUGAAAUGACGCAGAUAUCAGGAGGAACACCGGUGGCGAAGGCGGGUCUCUGGGCCGAUACUGACGCUGAGGAGCGAAAGCGUGGGGGAGCGAACAGG
rnacentral:rRNA from 1 species